GGCUUUAUAGUCAAAAAAUGAUAUAAAAUUGCAAAUUUUAAGUUAUAAAUUAUUUAUUAAGGCUU
rnacentral:tRNA from 1 species